UUCAAUUCUCUUUUAUUUUGAACAGAACUCUUUUCUCUCUCUCUCUGCUCUCUACCGUCCCUCUCUGUCCCUCUCUUUCCCGGCGAGCGUCGCCGGCCUUUGCCGCCUCCGGCGCGGCGAGGUCGGCCUCUUCUCUUCCCCCUUUCUUUCCUUCCAUUUCUUCUCCUCUUUCUCCUGAAUUUAGAAUAGAUCUAGGGUUUCUAAAUUUCCUGAAGUUUGUUCCUCCGAUGAACUCCACCACUGCCGCCGCCGUGCUCGUCGCGCCGCCACCCCCUCUGAUUCAGGAAUCGGUGAUUCAAGAUGGUUUGAGAUGGUUUCAUCGGCAGUUCAUCUACAGCCCAAGAUUCCCUUUUAAAGACUCAGCCUUUUAUUAUUGAAUUAACUGUUGUAACUAAAUGUAUUCUGUAGAUGUUAAAGGAAAUUGAUAUUAUCUCUGCUAUUUUUGAUUACUAUCUAUGAGUGAUUACUGAAUUGUAGGAAGAAUACUACCUGCUUGUUGCUGUGAUAACUGCUGGGGAUGAACUAUAUUUGGAUGAACCUCUGCUGUGUUAUUUAGAAAUUUCAGGAUGGGAAGAAAAUGAGAUUUACCGUAACUCACCAUAUUUAUAAUCGUUUGAGUCGGUUUGGGUGAAGUAGCUGGGUGGAAAGGUAAGAGAUAUGUGUUGAAUCACAUGAUACGUGUUUCUUCACAAAAUAAGUAUAGCUAAUUUGAUCUGAUUGUAAGCUGAACAUUCAAGUAUUUGGACAAAUUGAAAUAAUAUAUGGAUUUGGGCUUUUCAUUA